rnacentral:rRNA from 1 species
GCAAGUCGAGCGGUAGAGAGAAGCUUGCUUCUCUUGAGAGCGGCGGACGGGUGAGUAAUGCCUAGGAAUCUGCCUGGUAGUGGGGGAUAACGUCCGGAAACGGACGCUAAUACCGCAUACGUCCUACGGGAGAAAGUGGGGGCUCUUCGGACCUCACGCUAUCAGAUGAGCCUAGGUCGGAUUAGCUAGUUGGUGAGGUAAUGGCUCACCAAGGCGACGAUCCGUAACUGGUCUGAGAGGAUGAUCAGUCACACUGGAACUGAGACACGGUCCAGACUCCUACGGGAGGCAGCAGUGGGGAAUAUUGGACAAUGGGCGAAAGCCUGAUCCAGCCAUGCCGCGUGUGUGAAGAAGGUCUUCGGAUUGUAAAGCACUUUAAGUUGGGAGGAAGGGUCGUUACCUAAUACGUGGCGAUUUUGACGUUACCGACAGAAUAAGCACCGGCUAACUCUGUGCCAGCAGCCGCGGUAAUACAGAGGGUGCAAGCGUUAAUCGGAAUUACUGGGCGUAAAGCGCGCGUAGGUGGUUUGUUAAGUUGGAUGUGAAAUCCCCGGGCUCAACCUGGGAACUGCAUCCAAAACUGGCAAGCUAGAGUAGGGCAGAGGGUGGUGGAAUUUCCUGUGUAGCGGUGAAAUGCGUAGAUAUAGGAAGGAACACCAGUGGCGAAGGCGACCACCUGG